GUCAAGUAAGGAGGGGCAUUGUGAAAGGAAUGUCCGGUUUCCUGUUUUUCAAAGUGGGAAAAGUAAAAAAAAAAAUGUUUCAGUAUAUGUGUUGCUCUAUGCUGCAGACUCUGGUAGAUGCAUACAUCGAAGAAUUCAUGACAUCAAACUAGUCGCAGCUAUUGUCUGUCCGCCAUAUAAAGAUCUUGUGAACCAGAAUACAGACUGUAAGAGACAGAAGCAGCCAAAAGCAUCGUCAAACUUCCCUCAGAAGAUGGCGUCGGGACCAGAAGUUUUACAAAAACUAUGCGAAUUCCUGAAAAGAUCUGCUGUUUUAAGCUCUUUCCCAUUGAGCCUUUUGUUAAUCGGAAUAGAGGCUGUAAUGGAUCAACACUUCUCAUGCCCGUGUAGAUCUGAUCUGAAUGCACUGCUAACAGCAUCCAUCUUCACUGGACCUGCUCUUUUCACUUUUGCUUUAAUGUUCCGCCAUUUAAGGCCGCUUACACAUGGAUGGUUUCAUUGUCCUGAAGGAGUGAAUGAUGAUACUCAGCAGAACUGUUUUAAAGUUCUCACAUCAUGUCUGAUUCCACCUGUCAUGUGGAUCUUCGUCUUGUUACUUGAUGGAGAUUAUGUUGCUUGCAGUAUGACAGACUGGAAGGGAGUUUAUGUGUUUGAUAAGGAGCUAAAUACGUCAUGGUGUAAACCUGCUGAAGAGACGAAAAUUGAGGCAGAGCUACGAGAUUUGACUAGCAAAUAUAUUCAUCAAUCUCAGUUUUCAGGUUAUGUUGUGAUCUCUGUCUUCAGUGCCUUAGCAAUUGUUUUGGUGGGCAUUUAUGACAGCUGCUUAAGUGGAAAGUGUGACCGCUGCCCAAAUCGACUGUUAUCCUUCUGCGGACGAACAGAUUCAGAGACACACGGUGGAGGAAAUGGAAAUGACACAGGACAGGGUGAUGUACCGCUUGAUACUCUCCCUGCCACUUCCUCCAGCACUACAGACCCAAAUGUAUAAAUUGCACUAAGAGAAGAAAACUUCUUUUUGCUAUUUCAGAGCAAGAAUAAACAACUAAAUUUUUGAGGGAUGUCUUAAAGGGUUAGUUCACCCAAAAAUGAAAAUAAUGUCAUUUAUUACUCACCCUCAUGCCGUUCCACACCCGCAAGACCUUCGUUAAUCUUCGGAACACAAAUUAAGAUAUUUUUGUUGAAAUCCGAUGGCUCAGUGAGGCCUCCAUAGCCUCUCUCAAGAUCCAUUAAUGUACUAAAAACAUAUUUAAAUCAGUUCAUGUGAGUACAGUGGUUCAAUAUUAAUAUUAUAAAGCGACGAAAAUAUUUUUGGUGCGAAAUAACGACUUAUUAUAGUGAUGGCUGAUUUCAAAACACUGCUUCAGGAAGCUUCAGAGCGUAAUGAAUCAGCGUGUCGAAUCAUGAUUCGGAUCGUGUGUCAAACCGCCAAACUGCUGAAAUCACGUGACCUUUGGCGCUCCGAACCGCUGAUUCGACACGCUGAUUCAUAAUGCUCCGAAGCUUCCUGAAGCAGUGUUUUGAAAUCGGCCAUCACUAAGUCCUCGUCACUUUAUAAUAUUAAUAUUGAACCACUGUACUCACAUGAACUGAUUUAAAUAUGUUUUUAGUACAUUAAUGGAUCUUGAGAGAGGAAAUGUCAUUGCUGGCUAUGGAGGCCUCACUUGAGCCAUUGGAUUUCAACAAAAAUAUCUUAAUUUGUGUUCCAAAGAUCAACGAAGGUCUUACGGGUGUGGAACAACAUGAGGGUGAGUAAUAAAUGACAGAAUUUUCAUUUUUGGGUGAACUAACCCUUUAAGGUGCGGUCACAUUAGCAACAUUUGCUGGCAAAAAAGGUCCAUUGUCCAUUGUCCAUUAAUGUAUCGAUUCACUAAUUCACCGCUUACACAGAUGUCACUUUCAAAACAAGCAGCUGUAUUUUUAUAAAAAAAGUAUUUUUAUACAAAAUGUAAGCAUGUCUCUUUUCUUUAUUGCAGUAAUAGGAAUAAAUAUAUAGACUAUUAAUCAUUGCAUGAAAACAACUAAUUAACAUUUCUACUGUUUUUGCCCAAGACAGAAUUAAGUUACAGUUCACUGAAAACACAGUAACAAGUAUUGUUGCCACAAUUAACCAGCGUAUUACUGACUUUUCAGCUAUUUUUAUUAUUUUCUUUUAAAAACACAAUAUCAUUAAAAAUAAACAAAUAUUGUAAUAAAAAAAAUCUAAAAUUUAAAACAUGAGACAAUCUGAAUUUGACAUUUAUGAAAAAUUCCCUUGUCCUGUCCUUUGUUUAAAUGGACUUUUCACUCAAAACCUCUUUGAGACUGUUGAGAAUUGAGACUGUUACAGCAUCCCAGUGUGACAACUAGCCCCGGUAUCUGUGUCAACAACCUGAUAUAAAUAUAUAUGGAAUGUGUGAAUAUGUUGUGUAAGAAAAAUAAAACCUAACAUAUAAAGAAAGUAAACUGAUUUCCGUGAUUGAUCUUCUUGCUUUUCAGUAACAGUUUUGUUGUUUGUGAAUUUAUUUGCUGGCAAGAAACAAUAUUACAUUUCUGCUUUAAAAAAAAAAAAAAAAAAAAAAAAAAAAAAAAAAAAAAAAACAGAAUAUAA